GACGAACGCUGGCGGCGUGCUUAACACAUGCAAGUCGAACGGAAAGGCCCUGCUCUUGUGGGGUUCUCGAGUGGCGAAGGGGUGAGUAACACGUGAGUAACCUGCCCUUGACUUUGGGAUAACUUCUGGAAACUGGGGCUAAUACCGGAUAGGAUCUUCUGCUGCAUGGUGGUGGUUGGAAAGUUUCGGCGGUUGGGGAUGGACUCGCGGCUUAUCCGCUUGUUGGUGGGGUAGUGGCUUACCAAGGUUUUGACGGGUAGCCGGCCUGAGAGGGUGACCGGCCACAUUGGGACUAAGAUACGGCGCAGUCUGCUACGGGAGGCAGCAGGCGGGAAUCUUGCGCAAUGGGCGGAAGCCUGAUGCAGCAACGCCGCGAGCGGGAUGACGGGCUUCGGGUGGUAAACCGCUUUCGCCUGUGACGAAGCGUGAGUGACGGUAAUGGGUAAAGAAGCACCGGCUAACUACGUG
rnacentral:rRNA from 1 species